GACCCUUCUGUGAAGCUCUUCAAUCAAACCUGAGAAUUCAAGGCAUUUUGUAGCAUCCUAAACAGAAGGAUAUUGAAGGGAGCUGAUUCUGCUUUGAUCCUUGUGCUUGUUGUCAAAGCGCUUGGGAUUGAAGAGACUGUUGGCUACAAUUGACUGUGACAAUUAGGAGAUGAUCAGAGCCCUAGAGUGGAGCACUUAAAGGGUUUGCAUUUAAAACACUCGUGGAACACUGAUGGUAUAAAAUUCUGGUGACUGCACUUUCUCUUUUCAGAGAAGGAAUGAGUGAAUGAAUGAAAAGGCAGGGAUUAUUUGCCAUUCUAAGCGGG